rnacentral:rRNA from 1 species
AUGCUUAGGCGGCGGCUGCUCCGAGAGCUCCAAGCUUGCGCGGAGUCGCUCCCUCAAUCGAGCAAUCAGAUUGCGUUUGCAAGAAUCUGUGGAUGCCCGUUGAAUCUGACUAAAGAUUCGCGUAAGUAUUGUAAUCCUCCUAUCAGUUUCCGCUUGCCGCUAGUUUUUAGAAGAGGAGUUGUUGCUGUUGUUGCUGGUUCUUGUGGUGUGAGGUCUUUUCAGAACUCUGAUGUCCAGCCGCCGGCUCGGUGCUUUUCCGGCGAAGCCUGCGCGGCGCCCCCGGCCAAGAUCCCGGAUUCGCCGGCGCGCGUGCUCCGGCAUGGCCUCGUCCGUGCGAGCGCGCAGGCCUCGCUGCUCGAGUAUCUCCAUUCUACGCGGGGAAUAGAGUUUAUGCUGGCCGAGCACAUGAGCAAGAACUCUCCGGCGUUCCUCGCCCGCCUCCUUGCCAACGUGGACACCGGCGGCGGCGCCGAUGUGAGAUUGUCAGUCUCCAGGUUCCUCCAAUACCACCCCAUCAAUGAGUUUGAGCCGUUCUUCGAGAGCAUUGGGCUCAGGCCGUCAGAGUUGGGGAAGUUCUUGCCAAGUGAUUUGAUAUACCUGAAGGAUGCUGUCGAAUUGCUGGAGAAUUACCAAGUACUUUGUGAUUAUGGCGUGCCACGGACCAAGAUUGGUAAGGUGUACAAGGAGGCCAAUGAGGUGUUUGGUUAUGGACACAGUGUGUUAUUCUCGAAAUUGCAAGAAUAUGAGCAGCUUGGAUUGAGCAAAUCAACAAUCACCAAGCUUGUAGUGUGUUGCCCCAAACUCCUUAUUGGUGAAGCCAACCUUGAGUUUCUGCAUGUUUUGGAUAAGCUGAAAGCCUCUGGUAUUAUGCUCGGAUGGUUUAGAGGGGGUUUGUCAGAUGAGAGCACACACAACUGGAGACGAACUCUUAAAAUGCUUGAAUUUCUUGAUAUGAUGGGUUCCAACAACAAGACUCUGUUGGUAAGGCUGAUCAAAGAACAUCCAAGAUUUGUGUUUGGCGAAUCUGGUAAGAAGUUGUAUCUUCUUGUCAGCAUGCUGUGUAAAUUUGGCAUUCAGAUAGAUAGCAUGCUACAGCUGUUCGUGCAGUGUCCAUGGGUUCUAAACAUGAAAUUUCCAAAGAAUCUGCAGAAAUCAGUGGAUUUUUUGACUCAGAUAGGAAUGGAGGCAUUCGACAUUGCUCGCGUUGUCUCAUCAUGCCCUGAAAUUCUUGGUGCUAGUUCUUGUCAGAGUGCUGCUAUUGUGUUGUCUACCAUGAACCUGUCUGCUGCGAGGUUAUGCAAUAUCAUAAAAGAUGACCCUAUGCAGUUUGGUACUUUGGUAUCAAAGAAAAAAAUUGCAGCUGUGACAAAGAUAGACAGUUUUUAUCUUGGAGAGAAGGCUGAAUUUUUGCUGAAGAUCGGCUUCAUUGAGAACUCUGACGACAUGGUGAAGGCAAUGUCCCAUUUUCGUGGCCGCGGUGACCAGCUUCAAGAGAGGCUAGAUUGCUUGGUCGAUGCUGGAUUGGACUAUGAGGAUGCCUGCAGCAUGAUCAAAGUGGCCCCAUUUGUACUGAACAUGUCAGUGAGUAUGAUCAAGAAAAAGAUCAGCUACAUUCUGAAUGACAUCGGAUACACUCUUGAAUCUAUUGUUGCUUUUCCUGCGAUUUUCGGGUACAGUUUGGAGAAGAUGAAGCUGAGAUUCAUGAUGUACAAGUGGCUCACCGAAAAUGGCGUCAAGAUCAAACCAACAAACAAGAACAAGGUAAACAAGUCCAUGGUAGCCUUGAGCACCAUCAUGGCAUGCUCAGAUGUCAGGUUUGUGAAGCAAUUUGUGAAUCUUCACCCUGGUGGACUGGAUCAAUGGCAAAGGUUGAAGAACUGUUCAACUAUUCAGUAA